AAAAUGAAAAUCCCUGAAACACUAAUUCCUCCGACUGCUCGUGUCUCUGAAGACAAUACAGCUGUUUCUACUCAUUAACAGUCGAGGGGAAUACUUCUAGACAAUCUGUAGAUAUAAUUGAAUCAGAUACCUCAAGAAAAACUUCAGUAACCUAUGAAAAUCUCCGAAAACCUCUGAACACCUCUGGAAACCUUUAAAAACCUCUGAACACCUCUGGAAACCUUCAAAAACCCCUGAACACCUCUGAUAUUCACCAAUAAGCUUUAAUAAAGUGAACAAUUAAGAAUGCAAGAGAAGUCAUGCGGCUUGAUAACAACUCAGUGAAUCUUAGAAUUUAGUGAAAAUCGUGAAACCCAUGAAACAAGAAAAAGUUUAAACCUUUAGGAAUUCUCGAUACGUUACGCUAUGAUUCAAUAGAAAAAAUCACAAAAAUGUAAACCAAAGUCUACCCUAUAGAAAAGGUUGUCCUUCAAGUGAAAAAAAGUUCUUAUACCAAAGAAAACAAAACCUGAAAAGUUUUAAAUCCGCGAAAACUUACUUUCAAAUCCACGAAAUGUGAAGAAAUGUGCAAUACCAGUGUACACUUUACCUCAACUAUUAAAUGAAAAGGAAUGAAGUGUUUAAAUAUGGGAAGCUACUGCUCUCAAUUAUCAUCGCCGCGUAAGAAUUCUAUUCUGCCUCCUCCAGAUCUCUCAACUCUACUCAACAAUUAUGAAAAGGAAAGUCAAGACAGUACCUACUGGCUGGAAAAGUUUAAAUCAAGCUUAAUUUCCAUGGAUGAAAGAACAGACCAGAUUUGGAGAACACAGUUGCUUGAAUUCGUUCUUGUUUGUAGAUCUGCUCUACAGCAGGGUUUAGACAACCAGGAUACACUCAACUCUCUCAAGGAGUACCUGGAGGAGGGAGGAGUUUCUGUAUCGGAUCUUGAGCUCCGAGAAGAUUUGUUUCAAUCAUUAGAAUCCUAUAUCUCCAAGUCCUCAGGAGCGAGGGGAACCAGGGCAGCAUUAUCUGGAAGCCCACCGUCUAGUGCUAAGGUUCUGGAAAACCUGAAGUUGGUCCUACUGGAUCCAAGUGUCUGGAAAACUCUGGAAAAUGAAUAUUCAAGAUUUCUUAAACAAACCCCUAGUCCUCCUAAACUAGCAGUUAUACUAUCUAUACUCUAGCUAUUUAAACCCUAAUCCUCCUAAACUAGCAGUUCUACUAUCUAUACUCUAGCUAUUUAAACCCUAGUCCUCCUAAACUAGCAGUUCUACUAUCUAUACUCUAGCUAUUUAAACCCUAGUCCUCCUAAACUAGCAGUUCUACUAUCUAUACUCUAGCUAUAUAAACCCUAGUCCUCCUAAACUAGCAGUUCUACUGUCUAUUCUCUAUCUAUAUAAAUUAGCACUGCCCACUAUCUGUACUUUAACAAAAUAUGUUUAAGUUAAUGUAUUCUACGAUCUCUUCUAUAACUGUCUGAUAUAAUUCAAGAUGACACUUUGUACAGUAACUGUACUCUUCUAUCAUUUGCAACAACAAAAUUAAUGUGAUAUUUGAAACCUAAUAUAACAAUUUUGAACCAGGCAAAGAAAAUAAAUUUAAACUCACACUGUUUUUGAAUA
rnacentral:misc_RNA from 1 species